AGGUAGGAAGGUAGGGAGGAAGGUAGGGAGGGAGGGAGGUAGGAGGAAGGUAGGUAGGAAGGGAGGGAGGGAGGGAGGAAAAACAAUGAAGGAGAAGGGAAGGGAAGAUACUGUAUUUGGAGAACAAGAUGAGCGACGGCAGGAGAUUAACGUGGUGAAGUGUUGAUCAGUUGAUUGAGAGAAUAAUACAAGGAAAAGCAAGAAAGAAGACAUCUAUGCUUUUAGUCUGGAGUCUUAACUCAGUCCUAAACUACAUCUAUGCUUUUAGUCUGGAGUCUUAACUCAGUCCUAAACUACAUCUAUGCUUUUAGUCUGGAGUCUUAACUCAGUCCUAAACUACAUCUAUGCUUUUAGUCUGGAGUCUUAACUCAGUCCUAAACUACAAUACUUAACUACAUCUAUGCUUUUAGUCUGGAGUCUUAACUCAGUCCUAAACUACAAUACUUAACUACAUCUAUGCUUUUAGUCUGGAGUCUUAACUCAGUCCUAAACUACAAUACUUAACUACAUCUAUGCUUUUAGUCUGGAGUCUUAACUCAGUCCUAAACUACAAUACUUAACUACAUCUAUGCUUUUAGUCUGGAGUCUUAACUCAGUCCUAAACUACAUCUAUGCUUUUAGUCUGGAGUCUUAACUCAGUCCUAAACUACAAUUACUUAACUACAUCUAUGCUUUUAGUCUGGAGUCUUAACUCAGUCCUAAACUACAAUACUUAACUACAUCUAUGCUUUUAGUCUGGAGUCUUAACCCUGUCCUAAACUACAAUACUUAACUACAUCUAUGCUUUUAGUCUGGAGUCUUAACCCUGUCCUAAACUACAAUACUUAACUACAUCUAUGCUUUUAGUCUGGAGUCUUAACCCUGUCCUAAACUACAACUCUCACCUUAAAAACUACAGUACUUAACUAUCAGGAGGAAGCGAGGGUACAUUGCUACAAUAUAAUCUUGGUUAUCAUUUUGGAAUAUUAUCAGUAAAAAUGUAUGUUGCUUUCAAUAUGGUUCUAAUUUAAAGCACUUUUGUUGUAAUGUGUAUUUGAGUGUGUGUUUUGAGUGUGUGUUUUGAGUGUGUGUUUUGAGUGUGUGUGAGCGUAUUGAAAAUAAUAAGCUUGGUACGAAAACCAAUAGAGAAAACCAAUAGAAAACCAAUAGAGAAAACCAAUAGAAAACCAAUAGAGAAAACCAAUAGAGAAAACCAAUAGAGAAAACCAAUAGAAAACCAAUAGAAAACCAAUAGAGAAAACCAAUGGAGAAAACCAAUAGAAAACCAAUAGAGAAAACCCAUAGAGAAAACCAAUAGAAAACCAAUAGAAAACCAAUAGAGAAAACCAAUAGAAAACCAAUAGAGAAAACCAAUAGAGAAAACCAAUAGAAAACCAAUAGAGAAAACCAAUAGCAAACCAAUAGAAAACCAAUACAGAAAACCAAUAGAAAACCAAUAGAGAAAACCAAUAGAAAACCAAUAGAGAAAACCAAUAGAAAACCAAUAGAGAAAACCAAUAGAAAACCAAUAGAGAAAACCAAUAGAAAACCAAUAGAGAAAACCAAUAGAGAAAACCAAUAGAAAACCAAUAGAGAAAACCAAUAGAAAACCAAUAGAGAAAACCAAUAGAAAACCAAUAGAAAACCAAUAGAAAACCAAUAGAGAAAACCAAUAGAAAACCAAUAGAGAAAACCAAUAGAGAAAACCAAUAGAAAACCAAUAGAAAACCAAUAGAGAAAACCAAUAGAAAACCAAUAGAGAAAACCAAUAGAGAAAACCAAUAGAAAACCAAUAGAAAACCAAUAGAGAAAACCAAUAGAAAACCAAGAGAAAACCAAUAGAAAAACCAAUAGAAAACCAAUAGAGAAAACCAAUAGAGAAAACCAAUAGAAAACCAAUAGAGAAAACCAAUAGAGAAAACCAAUAGAGAAAACCAAUAGAAAACCAAUAGAGAAAACCAAUAGAGAAAACCAAUAGAGAAAACCAAUAGAAAACCAAUAGAGAAAACCAAUAGAGAAAACCAAUAGAAAACCAAUAGAGAAAACCAAUAGAUGCUUCACACAUAUUGUAACAAUUAGCGUUGCCAAAGUCUGCAUUAUGUACGCGUCAAGAGUUUUCUUUUGUACUUGGCACUUUAUCUCCUUCUGACGCUCUUAUCCAUAUUUAACUCCUGUGUUACUUUCUCCAUUUUUUUUGUUAUUUUAAUAUACAAAACAGCUAUACAAAAUGAUCUUCUAAUGAGUAUUAUAACAGUAACUAUGUCAGGAAAUUGAAGCGUUUUCAUUUUGUAUUUUCUUUUGUAAUUUUGUGUUUGUUUUUUUAUCGUUGUUGUUAUUGAUGGUCACUCUACUUCCUGGAGAGAGAAAAAAAAAUCCUCCCCACAAACUUCCUGUUUCCUGUGGGCAUAUCUCAGGGACCCCACCCCUUCCCCCCCCAAAAAAAAACCAGGAAGUUGGCCUUAUUUGUUUGUUCUCUUCUGUUUGUUGUUGUUGAAAGGUCAGUGAGAAGUGUCAUAGUAGUGCUUUUAGAAGCGUUGUAAUGAUUCUCUGAUGUUCCAUCCAGACCAAAGUAUAUAUUAUAUUCAUCUCCCGUUAAUAGAACACAGCCCACACGCUAGAACACUCUAGAACCAACCAUUCCAAGCCAUGUUCCCUUUUCCAAGCCCACAAAGACAUUUUGGAUGUACAUUUUACUCCAAGCCUGUUGGUGGCAGUCUCCACAAGAUUGGUGGUCCUGUCCAUAAACUUCCCACAACAAUGUAACGUUCAGUUACAAAGUUAUAUCAAAACCCUGUUUUCUAAUCAGUCAGUUUGUAUGUAGCUACUUCUUGAGUUAUAUCAUUCUCAGUUUUGUUGAUGUGCUGCAGAGUUGUUGGUUUUUACGGUCGUUAAGCACUGGCGUUCCGGUUUCACACCUUCUUUUAGUGUCCUCCAUCCCCUAGACAACACACCUGACAGUUCCCAUAGCAACUCUCAGUUCACAAUUCAAGCGCUACAAAGAAGUUCUUAAAUCCAAAGAAAACAAUGAAGAGCAGGUUCUCCCAUUUCUCCUGAGUAUAUAUAUAUAUAUAUAUCGGCCCGGUUUUUACUGUGUGUAACUACAUCGUGCCAAAGCUAGUCCCUUCUGCAUGUUUAGUAUUUUGUCUUGGUGUAACACGUACUUUGUCCUACAUUUGCAUGUUGAAACAAAAGUGUUGUGGUCUGUUUUGUAUCGUUGUAUUGUAUCAUGCGCCUGUAGCAUUUCUCCUGCUUUUGCACUUGACAAAGUCGAAUAAAGAGUUUGACAGCUAUGAGAGCAGGUAUCCGUCUUGUGGGAGACUAAUUGUUCACCUAGGACAUUUUCACUAUCAAAAUACCCAUAAAGACGGGUCGUCCAUGAGACCUUGGCCAGUUGUCCACAAAGUACUGAUCUUCCUGACCACCUCUGGCGGCAGUAGG
ensembl:lncRNA